rnacentral:rRNA from 1 species
AGGUCAGGCUGAAGACCUUACCGGAUUCGCUGAGAGGUGGUGCAUGGCCGUCGUCAGUUCGUACUGUGAAGCAUCCUGUUAAGUCAGGCAACGAGCGAGACCCACGCCCACAGUUGCCAGCGAUCCCUCCGGGGAGGCGGGUACUCUGUGGGGACCGCCGCUGCUAAAGCGGAGGAAGGAAUGGGCAACGGUAGGUCAGUAUGCCCCGAAUUAUCCGGGCUACACGCGGGCUACAAUGGUCAGGACAAUGGGUAUCGACACCGAGAGGUGGAGGCAAUCUCCUAAACCUGUCCUUAGUUCGGAUUGUGGGCUGCAACUCGCCCACAUGAAGCUGGAAUCCGUAGUAAUCGCGUUUCAAAAUAGCGCGGUGAAUAUGUCCCUGCUCCUU